UGGCCAAACUACCCUUCGGAACACAAUACCCUCGGGAAACUGAGGCUAAUAGUGUAUACCACACUCACUCUGGAAUGACAAGUGUGUCAAACGCUCCGGCGCCGAAGGAUGUGGCUGCGGCCGAUUAGGUAGACGGUGGGGUAACGGCCCACCGUGCCGAUAUCGGUACGGGUGGUGAGAGCCAGAACCCGGAGACGGAAUCUGAGACAAGAUUCCGGGCCCUACGGGGCGCAGCAGGCGCGAAACCUUUACACUGCACGACAGUGCGAUAAGGGGAUCCCAAGUGCGCAGGCAUAGAGCCUGCGCUUUUGUACACCCUAGGGAGGUGCACGAAUAAGGGCUGGGCAAGACCGGUGCCAGCCGCCGCGGUAAUACCGGCAGCCCAAGUGAUGGCCGAUCUUAUUGGGCCUAAAGCGUCCGUAGCUGGCCGCGCAAGUCCAUCGGGAAAUCCACCUGCUCAACAGGUGGACGUCCGGUGGAAACUGYACGGCUUGGGACCGGAAGGCGCGACGGGUACGUCCGGGGUAGGAGUGAAAUCCCGUAAUCCUGGACGGACCGCCGAUGGCGAAAGCACGUCGCGAAAACGGAUCCGACAGUGAGGGACGAAAGCUAGGGUCUCGAACCGGAUUAGAUACCCGGGUAGUCCUAGCCGUAAACAAUGCCUGCUAGGUGUGGCUCCCACUACGAGUGGGUGCUGUGCCGUAGGGAAGCCGCUAAGCAGGCCGCCUGGGAAGUACGUCCGCAAGGAUGAAACUUAAAGGAAUUGGCGGGGGAGCACUACAACCGGAGGAGCCUGCGGUUUAAUUGGACUCAACGCCGGACAUCUCACCAGCAUCGACUGUGGUAAUGACGGUCAGGUUGAUGACCUCGCCACGAGCCACAGAGAGGAGGUGCAUGGCCGCCGUCAGCUCGUACCGUGAGGCGUCCUGUUAAGUCAGGCAACGAGCGAGACCCGCAUCUGUACUUGCCAGCAGCACUGCGAAGUGGCUGGGGACAGUAGGGAGACUGCCGUGGCCAACACGGAGGAAGGAACGGGCAACGGUAGGUCAGUAUGCCCCGAAUGUGCUGGGCAACACGCGGGCUACAAUGGUCGAGACAAAGGGUUCCUACUCCGAAAGGAGACGGUAAUCUCAGAAACUCGAUCGUAGUUCGGAUUGUGGGCUGCAACUCGCCCACAUGAAGCUGGAUUCGGUAGUAAUCGCGUGUCACAAGCGCGCGGUGAAUACGUCCCUGCUCCUUGCACACACCGCCCGUCAAAGCA
rnacentral:rRNA from 1 species